UACGGGGGGGAGCAAGCGUUGUUCGGAUUUACUGGGCGUAAAGGGCGCGUAGGCGGUCAGCACAAGUCAGUUGUGAAAUCUCCGGGCUUAACUCGGAAAGGUCAACUGAUACUGUGCGACUAGAGUGCGGAAGGGGCAACUGGAAUUCUCGGUGUAGCGGUGAAAUGCGUAGAUAUCGAGAGGAACACCUGCGGCGAAGGCGGCACUCUGGGCCGAUACUGACACUGAGGAGCGAAAGCGUGGGGAGCGAACAGG
rnacentral:rRNA from 1 species